rnacentral:lncRNA from 1 species
ACAGUGUAAGAAGAUCGAGCCGUGGAUAAACUUCUGAGACCAAGAUGCAAUAAAGGAAAACCGUCAUACAAAUGAGUUCAAGGAGAAGGGCCUUAGCCCACAUUACAUAAAAAUAGAAUCUCCACAACAAUCCUGUGGAUCAUCACUACAAAGCAGCAAAGAAACACAGCAAGUAAAAAGAGGAACAAAAAUCAGGAAUCAUCCUCCUGUAUACAAC